CGCGUAGGUGGUAGUGUAAGUCUGGGGUGGAAUCCCAGGGCUUAACCCUGGAACUGCCUUGGAAACUGUAUUACUUGAGUCAGUGAGGGGAGGGUAGAAUUCCUGGUGUAGCGGUGAAAUGCGUAGAUAUCAGGAGGAAGGCCUGUGGCGAAGGCGGCCCUCUGGCGCUGGACUGACACUGAGGCGCGAAAGCGUGGGGAGCAAACAGGAUUAGAUACCCUGGUAGUCCACGCCCUAAACGGUGGGCACUAGGUGUAGGGCUCGUAAGGGUUCUGUGCCUAAGGGAAACCAUUAAGUGCCCCGCCUGGGGAGUACGGCCGCAAGGUUGAA
rnacentral:rRNA from 1 species